AAUAACAAAUGUCCGGCUACGUUGCUAAACCGUAAAUGCUCCUAAUGUUUUUAAUAAUAAUCUAUGAGUAUUUUCGGUUUCGCAUCCUAGCAGGAACAAAUGGCGGAU